rnacentral:rRNA from 1 species
CCGCGUGAGUGAUGAAGGUUUUCGGAUCGUAAAGCUCUGUUGUUAAGGGAAAGAACAAGUACCGUUCGAAUAGGGCCGGUACCUUGACGGUACCUAACCAGAAAGCCACGGCUAACUACGUGCCACACCCGGUAAUACGUAGGUGGCAAGCGUUGUCCGGAAUUAUUGGGCGUAAAGGGCUCGCAGCGGUUUCUUAAGUCUGAUGUGAAAGCCCCCGGCUCAACCGGGGAGGGUCAUUGGAAACUGGGGAACUUGAGUGCAGAAGAGGAGAGUGGAAUUCCACGUGUAGCGGUGAAAUGCGUAGAGAUGUGGAGGAACACCAGUGGCGAAGGCGACUCUCUGGUCUGUAACUGACGCUGAGGAGCGAAAGCGUGGGGAGCGAACAGGAUUAGAUACCCUGGUAGUCCACGCCGUAAACGAUGAGUGCUAAGUGUUAGGGGGUUUCCGCCCCUUAGUGCUGCAGCUAACGCAUUAAGCACUCCGCCUGGGGAGUACGGUCGCAAGACUGAAACUCAAAGGAAUUGACGGGGGCCCGCACAAGCGGUGGAGCAUGUGGUUUAAUUCGAAGCAACGCGAAGAACCUUACCAGGUCUUGACAUCCUCUGACAAUCCUAAGAUAGACGUCCCCUUCGGGGGC